ensembl:lncRNA
GGCUAGUGCAAUGCCCGGAAUGUUCCCCCAUGCCGAAAUUCAUGUGUCCAAACCCUAAUCCCAAUGUGAUGAUAUUAGGAGGUGGGACAUUUGGCAGGUGAUUGGGCCAUGAGUGUGAAGUCCUCAUCAAUGGGAUUAUUGACCUUAUUAAGGAGACCCCAGAGCUCACUAGCUCUCUUUCUGGCACAUGAAAUCCAAGAAGCUGGCAGUCUGCAACCCGGAAGAGGACCCUCGCCAGGGACAGACCAUGAUGGAGCCCUGAUAUCAGACACCCAGCCACCAGAACUGUGAGAAGUAAAUUUUGGUUGUUUACAAGCCACCCAGUGAAUGGUACUUUGCCACAGCAGCCCAGACUAGGACAACAAGUAAGACUAAUAAAAGAAAGAGUCAUCUUGUGCACUCUCUGAAUUGCACCAAUUUACUUUGAAGAUGACUGGAUUCGACAACGGUAAAUAACUUUGUAUAGAAUUAUGUAUUUUAUCAAGAUGAUUCUAUUUAAGACAAAUUCAAUAUAUCUUUAUGAUAAUCUUUCUUGCAUCUUUUAACCCUUUUUCUUAGAGACUGCUAUUUUCUUCCAGAAAAUAAAUGGAGUCUUAGUAGAAUGUAUGAUAAUAGGAAAUAAUUGGAAUGAAGUGAAUAUAUUUUAAACAACAGUGAUUUUUAUUUUAACACAUCCAAGAAAUAAAAAGUAUGAAGUAAAGAGUAGGAGAGAAAAUGAGGAUACUGGAAAAGACACCAGUAGAGGCAAGAAGGCAUAGAAGGAAUCUGUGGAAAUUUGACCUUCAGAGUGAUGACCUAAGGUAUCCAGUGGAAGGAAUGCCUAAGCCACAAAGUGUUCAAGAUAUGUCCUGGCUUCUUCUAACAGUCUAUACUCAGAGGAAGGAGCAAAGAAAUGGCUUAAAGUUGGAACUUAUACUUACACAGGGAGCAGAGCAUAAAAGUUUGGAAAAUCUGCAGCCUGGCCAUCUGGUAAAGAAAGAAAUGCUUUUUCAGGAGAGGAUUUCAAGCAGGCUGUGGAGCAACCAUGUGCUAGAUAAAUUUGUAUAAAUAAAAAGCAGACCAAUCCUGAUAGCCAAGACAAUGGGAAAAGGCCUGAAAGGCAUUUCGGAGAUCUUUGAGGCAGCCCCUCCCAUCACAGGCCCAGAGAUCCAGGAGGACUGAAUGGUUUUGGGGCCCAGGCCUGGGGCACCACUGUCCUGCACCAUCCCAGGAGUUUUAUCCUUGCGUCCUGGCAACUCUGGCUCCAGCCUCAGGCCAAAGGGGCCCAUGUACAGCCUGGGCUGCUGCUUCAGAGGGUACAAGUCGUAAGCCACAUGGUGUUAAGCUUAUAGGUGCACAAAGUGAAUGAGGCUUGGCAGUCUCUGCCUAGAUUUCAGAGGAUGUAUAAGAAAGCCUGGGUGCCCAGGCAGAAACCUGCUGUAGGGGCAGAGUCCUCACAGAAAGCCUCUACUAAGGCAUUAUGGAGGGAAAAUGUGGGAUUGAGGGCACUGCCUAGUAGAGCUGUCAGAGGAGGCCAGCACCCUCCAGUACCCAGAAUAGUAGAUCUACUGGAAGCUUUCACUCUGUGCCUUGAAAAGCCACAGGCAUUCAACAACCUGUGAGAGCAGCCAUGGGGACUGAACCCUGCAGAGACACAGGAGCACGGGCUGCCCAAUGUCUUGGGAAGCCACCCCUUGAAUCAGUGUGCUCUAAUGUGGGACAUGAAGUUAAAGGAGAUUAUUUUGGAGCUUUAAGAUUAAAUGACUGCCCUGAUGGGUGUAGGACUUGCUUGGAUCCUUUCUUUGCUCCUUUCUUUGCUCCUUUCUUUUAGCCGAUUUCUCCCUUUUGAAAUGGAAAUGUUUACCCAAUGCCUGUAAUCCCAUUGUAUCUUGAAAAUAAAUAACUUGCUUAAUUUUAUGGGCUCAUAGGUGAAUGGAGCUCAUCUCCAGAUGAGACUUUGGUCUUCUGGGGGACUGUUGAGAAGACAUGAUUGUAUUUUACAAUGUGAGAAGGACAUAAGAUUUAGGGGGCCAGGGAUGGAAUGAUAUUGUUUGAAUAUGCAUCCCCACCAAUCUCAUGUUGAAUUGUAAUCCCCAAUGCCAGAGGUGGCACCUGGUGGGAGGUGUUUGGGUCAUGAGGGAAGAACCCUCAUGAAUUGGUGUUGUCCUUGUGAUAGUGAGUGAGAUUUUGUGAAAGCUGGUUAAGUGUAUGGCACCCACCACUCAACUCCCUCUCUUUCUCUUGCUUUUGUCAUGUGAUGUGCCUAUUCCUGCUUCACCUUCUCCCAUGAAUAAAAGCUCCCUAAGGCCUCCCCAGAAGCUGAGCAGAUGCCAGCUCCAUGCUUGCACAGCCUGCAGAACCACAAGCCAAUGAAAUAUCUUGUCUUUAUAAAUUACCCAGCCUCAGAUAUUCUUUUAUAUCAAUGCUAGAAUGGCCUAACAUAAUUAUAUCUCUAAGUAUGUAGCAAGUUAUAUAUAUUAAAAUAUACCAACAUUUUUAGGUUUCAUUCAUCUGUGACAUUUAGUAACUUCUUUUACCACCCACUUUCCUAUAUGGUAUGUUAACACUAUUUUUAUAUUGAAUUUAUUUAAAAUUACUGAAAAGUCUAGAAAAACUGCUCAAUAUCUUGCAAAUUGUUCAAGAUAUACAUUACUUGCUUAAUUUCCAUAUCAAUCUUAGGAGAUAAAAUGCGUUAAUAAUGUAGUUUAUAGAUGAUGAUACUGUG